rnacentral:rRNA from 1 species
UACGUAGGUGGCGAGCGUUGUCCGGAUUUACUGGGCGUAAAGAGCGCGCAGGCGGUCGUAUAAGUCGCGUGUGAAAGCCCCCGGCUCAACUGGGGAGGGUCACGCGAUACUGUUCGACUUGAAGGCAGGAGAGGGAAGCGGAAUUCCCGGUGUAGUGGUGAAAUGCGUAGAUAUCGGGAGGAACACCAGUGGCGAAGGCGGCUUCCUGGCCUGUUCUUGACGCUGAGGUGCGAAAGCGUGGGGAGCAAACAGG